AGAGAGAGACAUGCGCGCAUAUCAAUAAGCGGAGGAAAAGAAACUAACAAGGAUUCCCCUAGUAACGGCGAGUGAAGCGGGAAGAGCUCAAAUUUGAAAUCUUAAGGGUUUCCCUUUACGAAUUGUAGUUUAAAGAAGUGUUUUCUGUUGAGGUUUUGGUAAAAGUUCCUUGGAAUAGGACAUCAUAGAGGGUGAGAAUCCCGUAUUUGACCUUUACUUUCAACUUUGUGAUACACUUUCAAAGAGUCGGAUUGUUUGGGAAUGCAGUCCAAAAUGGGUGGUAAAUUUCAUCUAAAGCUAAAUAUUGGCGAGAGACCGAUAGCGAACAAGUACCGUGAGGGAAAGAUGAAAAGAACUUUGAAAAGAGAGUUAAACAGUACGUGAAAUUGUCAAAAGGGAAGCGUUUGACACCAGUGUUGUUUUUCUGAAAAUCAAUUAAAGAACUGUUUAUGCUAAGCUGUUUAGACUUCAUCAGCUAACUGUUUAGUUUUGAGCUUUUCUUUAAUGCACUUUUCAGUUAACAAGUCAACAUCAAUUUCUUUUGCUGUAAAAAAGCUUGAGGAAGGUGGCUUGAGAUUCGUCUUAAGUGUUUAUAGCCUCUUGCCUAUGCAGUCGGAGAGAUUGAGGUCUGCAGCGUAGAUCCUUCGGGGCUAAAUGCAUUUGUGCUAAGUUAUAGCAUUUUAUAGACAACUUGUUGACUAUGAUUUGUCUUGUAGCUUACUCGCUUAUGUUAUUUUACCUACGCUUAGGAUGUUGACGCAUGAGAUAUACGC
rnacentral:rRNA from 1 species